rnacentral:rRNA from 1 species
GACGUAGGGCGCGAGCGUUGUCCGGAUUUAUUGGGCGUAAAGAGCUCGUAGGCGGUUUGUCGCGUCGUCCGUGAAAACUCACAGCUUAACUGUGAGCUUGCGGUCGAUACGGGCAGGCUAGAGUUCGGUAGGGGAGACUGGAAUACUUGGUGUAGCAGUGAAAUGCGUAGAUAUCAAGUGGAACACCAGUGGCGAAGGCGAGUCUCUGGACAUUUCCUGACGCUGAGGCACGAAAGCCAGGGGAGCAAACGGG